GGCCAGGUGGGGAAGUGGAGGUGCACGAGGGAGCGCUUGAGACUCUGGUCACGGAACUGCAGACUCAGCACCCGCUCCACAUGGGUCUCGGUGGCUCGCACGCUGCUCAGCGCCAGGCUCAGGGCUCCAUGCACCAUGGGCUGGCCGCGCUCCGUGGGGAAGUAGCGGGCCACCUUUUGCUGGGGGCAGAGGGGUACAGCAAGGCCAGUUUCCCGGGUACCUGCCCACCGCCCACUCUGCCUCAGAGGCACCCCGCCCCGCCCUCACCUUCUCCAUCUCGGCCUCAGACACCAGCAUGACAAUGACUGACACUUUCUGCUCGUGGACCAUAAGCCAGAAGUCAGCAGCUGUGCCGGGCAGUGGGGCCUGGGUGGCCACAAGGGGCGGGCAGUAUGGUGACAGCCCCUCCACACAGCUGGCGUUGAUGUAGUCGUCCUUGCCCGAGCGCAGCACCACGCGGUUGCUGUCGUAUGGCAUGACGUCCUGGUGUCGGUUCUUCAGGGAGUAGCAGCGGGCGAUGGCGAUGGAGCGGCGCUCGCGCAUCCUGUUCCUGUGCCUCCUGCAGUUCCCGCCAGACUGCAUCCAGCGCCCCUGUGUCCCCCCAGCAGGCCCCGGAAGGCCUCCAGCUCCUGCUGCAAGCACCGCAGCCUCUCAGGAUGCUCAUAGGGGUCCCGCUCGAUCAGCCGCAGGGCCUGUGGGCGGCGGCCCUCAGCGGCAUCGACCUUGGUUGGCUGCAGCAGGGGCUGCCCGCCCCCAGGAGGCUGUGCGCCUCCGUGCUGGCUCUCAGGGCUGGAGGACAGUAGGUCUGCAGCUGCCGGGCCCCGGCGUGGGCAUGCGGGGGGCUCUGCUGUAGGGGGCCGAGGGGGCACCGGGCCAGGCCCGGGAGAUGGAGCGGGUGAAGGCACCAGGUGGGGACUGGGGCUGGGCUGGCCAGCAGGCGGAGGGCCAUGCAUGGGUAGUGGGGCUGCCGGGGCACCCAGGGGCCUGGGAGAAGGAGUGGGACCAUAGGCCAGGGGUGGGUGGGGAGGCGGAGGCUGGGGGGGGCCCGGGGCUGGGGAAGGGCAGAGCCCCAGAUGAGGCCGGCAGGGUGUCCUGGGAAAGGCCCGCGUAGAGCUGGGUGUGCAGCACAGCUGGUGGCUGCCCGAGGACAGCAGGCUGGGGCGGGAAGGCAUAGGGAGGCUGUGGGGGGAGGAUCCCCGGGGCCUGGGGCGGGAAGAGGUGUGGAUGCUGGAAUGGAAGAGGUUGCUGAGGGGGCAGAGGCCCAAAUGCUGCCCUCGAAGGAUGUGGCUGGGGCCCAAUCCUGGGGCCCUGGGGUGGGGAAACCCGUGGGGACUCCAGGAGAAAAGUGGUGCUGAGCUGGGGGGCUGUAAGAGGUUGCUUGGUCCCAACAGGGUAUGUGUAGGGCACAGGCAUGGGCACGGGCAGCGGCAGGGGCUGCUGUGACGGAGCGGGCUGUGGGGGAAAGCAGGGCUGCGGAGCAGGGCUGGGCUUUGGCCGGAGUGCCAUGUGGCUGGGGAUGGGGGCCUGGAUGCUGUCUACCGUGGUGGUGGCCGGCCCAACUGCCAUGGCCAACGCAGGGCCCGGACACUGGGGAGGCGGGGCAGAGGGCAGGCCUGCGACGGCCCCGUAGGGACUGCUCACCGUGCCAUGCUGAGGGGAGGACCGCGGCACAAGGCCCAGCUCGGGGGUGUAGCCAGGGCCCGGGUAGAGGAUGGGUGCAGGUACCAAGGGCAUGGCCAGGGGCCCCGGGCUCUGGCCUGCAGCAGCUGGGUGGGGCCUGAGUGUGUGCCAGCGGGGAGGGGGCCUGAGACGUAGUGGGGGCCUGGGCCGGUGGAGCUGGGCAAGGGGCCAGGCGUGAAGGGGAGCGGGGUGGCGGCUCCCAGGAAGGCGUCUGGCAGCCGCGGGCCAGCCACCAUGUCAGGGGGCAGGCUGCGCAGCUCCUCGGGCGGGUCCCCGGUCUCCACUGCCUCGCCCUCCUCCCUGCGGGGCAGCAGUGGCUUCGGGGCUGUGGGCCUUGGGGGCGGCUUCUUCUUCAACUCUCUGGGGACAGGCAGGGAAGUGAGGCCACUCCCUGAACCCAGCCCACCUGGGUGGGAGCCAGAGCUGCAAGGCAGCUGGGGGCCACACUCACCGGUCCAGGAGCUGCUGGCGGGCAGCCUCUCGUGCCUGGCAGGCAGACUGUGCCCGUUCCAGCAAGGCAGCCACCUUGCUCUCCAGGUCCGCAUAGAAGUCCUUGCCUUCUUGGGAUUUCUUCAUUAGGUCCUCAUAGGCUUCGUAGGAGGCCACCAGGGUCUGUAGCGUAGAGUUCCACCUGGCAGGCAGAGGCCGGGUUAUGCAGCUGCCCCAGGUGGGGCAGGGCAAGGUGAGGGCAGCAGCACAACUCGGGCACU
rnacentral:lncRNA from 1 species